GUCGAACGAUGACGGCCGUGCUUGCACGGUCUGAUUAGUGGCGAACGGGUGAGUAACACGUGAGUAACCUGCCCUCCACUUCGGGAUAACCUCGGGAAAUCGUGGCUAAUACCGGAUAUGAGCACUCAUCGCAUGGUGGGUGUUGGAAAGAUUUAUCGGCGGGGGAUGGACUCGCGGCCUAUCAGUUUGUUGGUGAGGUGAUGGCUCACCAAGACGAUGACGGGUAGCCGGCCUGAGAGGGCGACCGGCCACACUGGGACUGAGAUACGGCCCAGACUCCAACGGGAGGCAGCAGUGGGGAAUAUUGCACAAUGGGCGGAAGCCUGAUGCAGCGACGCCGCGUGAGGGAUGACGGCCUUCGGGUUGUAAACCUCCUUCAGUAGGGAAGAAGCGAAAGUGACGGUACCUGCAGAUGAAGCGCCGGCUAACUACGUGCCAGCAGCCGCGGUAAUACGUGGGGCGCAAGCGUUGUCCGGAAUUAUUGGGCGUAAAGAGCUUGUAGGUGGCUUGUCGCGUCUGCCGUGAAAACCCGAGGCUCAACCUCGGGCGUGCGGUGGGUACGGGCAGGCUAGAGUGUGGUAGGGGA
rnacentral:rRNA from 1 species